rnacentral:lncRNA from 1 species
CAAAAUCAAUACUUAAACAUGACAUAUUACCACAUAUAUCCAAUUAUCCAAACUUACCAAAUUAACCAAAUUCACAUAUAUGCAUAUUUUAUCAAAUGUACUAAUUCAAACCAACCUUCAAUAUACCUAAUAUUUAUCCAUCAUUCAAUCAUUACGAACACACAUCAAAAUAUAUACCCAGUACAAGUCAUUCAAAUGGCUAGUUCCAACAAAACAUUUAUAUGGCAACAUUGGCCAAAUUAACCUAUACAUGUCAUUAUAACCAAAAUUAAUUUACUAUAUAUACUGAAAUGAGCCGAUGGAUAGUGUGGAGUUGCUCCAACCAGCUUCCAACCAAAAUGAGCUUCUGAAUUACUAUAAAACAGGGAAAAUAAUAUAGAGUAAGCAUUUAAUGCUUGGUAAGUUUGUAUAACAUGGAAUCUAACUUACCAUUAUUUCAUAUAUAAGGUAAGCAUACAAGAAAUAUCCAAAUCAACUUGUCCAAAAGCCUAAACACAUAUCCUCAUCAUGUUAGCCAUGUAAACACAUAUAAUAGCCCAUAAACAUGGAUGAACAUAGUUGCCAAACAAUUUCCAUACAUAUAUCAUCCACCUCAUAUUUCAAUAUAUCAUGUAAUAUCAUUUCCAUGUAAUUUCAUGUAUAUACUGAUAACAGUUCAUAUCAAAUUCACAUUUUCUUAUAACAGAACAUUGCCUGUUGAACUGUUUAAAAUAUCGUUGGAUACACGGGUAGUACACAUGAAGUGUACAAAUCUGUAAUCCGUCAAUUCAUAUACAGGUAUGCCCAUACGAGCAUAUAAUUGGGAAGCUCUUUCGAGGCAUGUAACAGGAAGCUGAUGUGAGUUGUAUAAUGGGAAGCUUUUUCGAGCCAAGUAUCGGGAAGCUCAUACGAGCCAUAAACGGAAGCUCAAGAGAGCUAUUAGUCUAGAAGCUCAUGAGAGCCAAAUAUUGGGAAGCUCGUGGGAGCCACAUAACGAGAUGCUUAUAAUGGGACGCUCUUACGAGCUGUGGUGUGUCCGCAACACAUGCAGGACAACAAUUAAUUGGGAACCCUUAAUGACAUGUCAUUUGUAUCCAUUAAAUUUCUAAUGUUCAAACGAGAUUCUACACUUGUUAGAUAUGUAAUCAAUAAUAUACAUGGCAUUUUAUACAAAUCACACACACAACAAUAUUCAAUUCUAAUCAUACAAAUAUACAAUUUAGUUACAUGAACUUUCCUUGACAAUUAUACGUAGAUUUGUAAGCUACUAAACUAAUACUUUUUCUUUUUCUCGAUCCAAUUUCGUACUAGGUCUACCAGAUCUAUAGAAUGAAUUUAGCUUAAUUUAAUACAAUUCAGUCCAAUACACAUCUUUGGAAAAAUUACUAUUUUGCCCCUAAACUUUUAAUAAAUUACAAUUUUUCCCUAGGCUCGAAAAAUAAAAUUCAUACAAUUUAAUCAUUAUUCCAACCUAACUGAUUUUUAUAUAUAACAAUAACAGCUCAUGUAUUUCAUAAAAUUCAUACUUUCUCCAUGAAUUUUCCAUCUUUUCAAUUUAGUCCCUAAAUCAUAAUUUCAUCAAAAUUCUCUUUACAAAAGUUGUUUAUCUAUCAACAACCUUUCAUUUUCUAUCAUAAAAUUUCAUAAUUCAACUAUACUCGUCCAUGGAAAAACCCCAAUACUUUAAUAGUUUUUUAAAUUAAUCCCCGAGAUAGCUAGAUUAAGUUAUUACGAUCUCGAAAAAUAUAAAAAUCAUUAAAAACGGGACAAGAACACAUACCUAACUAAGCCAAAUAAGUUUGCUAGAACUCAACUUCCAUGACUAGGGUUUCCAUGUUUUUAUUUUCGGAAAGAUGAUGAAAAUGAUAUUAAUUUAAUUAUUUAUUUCAUUUAUCAUCAUUAUUUUAUCAUCUUUCCAAAAUUAACCUUAAAAAUUUACUAAAUUCCAAUGAUAAAUAGUCAUCAUUAUCUCCAAUGAUAAAUAGUCAUCAUUAUCUACUAACUCCUCUAAGUAGUUUAUUUACCAUAUAAGGACCUCCAAUUUUAAAUUUCAUAAUUAUUUGAUACUUUUAGCUACUAGAAUUCAACUUUUUCACUUUAUGCAAUUUGGUCCUUUUCAUCAAAUUAGACAUGUGAUUGGUAAAAUUUAUUAACAAAAUUUUUAUACGAUAUUUCUAUCAUUAUGUAGACCAUAAAAUAAUAUUAAAAUAAAUUUUCUUCGGAUCUCAGAUUUGUGGUCCCAAAACCACUGUUUCAAUUUCACUGAAAACAGGCUGUUAUAGCGACGCUGGAGAUGCAUGAAUUGGACCGAGUGAUACGGUAGUUUGAGUGGAGGAAAAAAUUUCUGCCGCCACCACGAGACAUAGAAGCACUGCACAAGUUGGAUCUACGGGGGAAGACCAACGAAAAUUGGCGAGAUUACCACAAGGAGUACAUCGACAUUUGGGAUCAUAGGAUGGAAUUCAUACACAUCUGCAAACCUAUUUUCUCAUCGAACAUGGCCACUUGUUUAGAGUGCAUGCCCUGGUUUAGAGCCUCUGGCAAGCCAUAUUUGCUAUCAGUAGAGGCGAAAAGUAGGCAACUUCGUAAGAGGCCACGACAACCACCCCAGCAACGUAGGUCUGGAGGAGGUACCAUGACGGGUUCAUCCUCGACUUCAACCCAACAAGCGCCACAAUGUCUACACCACAUCUCGGUUAGUUCACUCUACUUAUUCCUAUUCAUUUCACUAACCAAGUAUUUUUUCACAAGUACCACAUUAUGCACCACUGCAAAACCCUGUAUCUACACAUCCUGCAUGCACGUUUUUUGAGGCACCUUCUUUACCAGUAUUUUACUCCCUCAUACCAACGUCGAUGCAUACAUAAAUAUCGAUACAUAUACCGAUGCAUGUACCGACAUCGUUUUCGACACCAAUACCGUUAACAACGUCGACAUAUCCGAAUUUUAUGACAUUAUAUGGUUAUUCCCCUAUAGUGUCACAAACACCCAUUGCGCCAUUUUUUUAUCUAUGUGGGUCAUCAUGCAACCACCUUUUCAUAGAAUGGAGGAGACACAAUGGAAGGCUAAUACGGCACCGCACUUAAGCAUGAAGGAAGGCAAUAAAGAGAAGUUGAAGCCGAGUGUGGAGAUGAAGAUAAAGAAGAUAGUGGAGAUGAAGAUGAGUAUGAGGGUAGAGGUGAAGAUGAAGAAGAUGAUCACGAUGAUCACGAUCAAGAAGAGGAGCAGGCACUACUAGUUGUAUGUAGAAACCCUACGCGCACCCGUCAACCACUACCCUGUAGCACACAUUUGGCCUAACGAUGCCGAUGAUGUAUUUUUCAUUUGCUUAUUGUGAUGUAAAUAUAAAUGACAUCAAUAAAAAACGAUCAAAUUUUUUUAUAUUUUUGUCGCAACUCAUAUUUGUAUUUGUUAAAUUCUCAUGUAAAUUAUACAUAAUUUUUCAUAAAUAAUAUUUUAUAUGAAAUAUGUAACUUUGAAUAGGUAUAUUUAUCAAACUAAUGAUUAAUAAAGGUACAAAUACUAACUCGUAAAAAGGGUAAAAGUUUAAUCGCCAGAGAUAUUGUAAUUGGUACUUGAAGUAGCAUUUAAAGUAGCAAUGUUUUCACUAUAUAAAUGUUAGUAGACGGUGGAAAAUACAAUUGAAAUGCAAAAAAAAAAGAUGUCAGAUAUCUACAUUGCAAGCUCGAAAUUCUUCCCUGGCUCAAACCCUAAACUUUCCUCUUAAUUCUAGUCUGUAGCUCACACAAUUGAAUACUACGUUUAAAAGCCAAUUCCAUGGACUGGGAUCUAACAAAUAAGACCCCAACUUUCGUAUUACAAAUUUAAUUGUCAUAGUAAAUGACGGAUUUCGCUAGUGGACUUAUUUCAAUUUAAAAUGAAUUAGAUAUUUAAAACACAAAAAAAAAUCUUCAAAUGGUUAUCUAAAGAAAUGCAGACAACAAUCGUAGUAAAACUCUUCAAUGUAUAGUAAAUUUUAUGAUUGAUAUUGAAAUAGUAUGGUAUGAGAAAUGAAAGUGAAAUAGUGAUUGGAAAAUAGAAUGUGACAUAUGUUGCAAAUAUAUGAAAUAUGUGAAUUAUAUACUCAUGAAAUGAAUAUAGAGUGGAAAAUGCAAUUGUAUAAUGAAAUGUGAAAUAAAUUGUGAAAAGCUAUUUAUAUAACAAGUAUGAGAAUUAAGAUAUUUGUGAAACAAAUGAAAUAUGAUAUGGUUGUUGAAAUAAUUAAAUAUUAAUAUGUGUUUAUAUUUCAAUAGCAUAUUUGAAAUUUCUUAUCUUUAAAUAUUUGAAUUACAGAAAUACCACUGAUUUUUUACUCAACGUACGGUUUUGUUUCCCGUGCGCAGGUUAGGUACUUAACUUUUGAUCACCGAUUCAACAUCCAAAUGUGGUGAUGUUUAUCCUUUGUGUCGGCAUGUACCUAGGGUGUCUAAAUAAUAGUAAUUUUGUAGGUUGAUUGUAAAUGAGGUUUUAAGUUUAAUUUUGGUUGGUUUUAUACAUAUAAAUAUGUAUUUGUUUUUGAAGCCAUAUUAUGGCAUGGUAAGUUGAACUACAUCUAGAUAGGUGCAUGUGAAUUUAAUUUUAUGUUUAAGUGCUUAUGAACUAGGAAAAUUAAUUUGGAUUUGGUUUGUUUAUAAUUUGGAUUAAAAUGAUGCUUUGAUGACUUGUUUUGAUGAUAUGAAGUGUUUAAAAUUUAUGUCUGUUUGAUCUGUAAACUUCUGUAAUGCUCCGUAACCCGAUUUUGGUGAGAGAUACGGGUUGAGGGUGUUACAGUUAAUGGUAUCGGAGCUUUUCUGGUUUAGUCAAUUCUCAGACUAAAUCUAGCUUGGAAUUGAGUCUAGAGGUACAUGCCAUAAUUGAGUCGAAUUGAGCAGGGAUUUGAAUGCUGAUAUAUUUGUUUUUUGUUUUAUAGUGAAAAUGUCGAAUGAUUAUAAUGAUUAUGUUGAUGAUAAAUGUAAUGUUAUACAUGUGUAUAUAUGAGUGUCAAAUUUUAAGGCUUUACUACAUUCACCCCUCACCGUACAGUCUUAUACAACGAAACUUACAAGAUUUAGAUUCAUUAAGCUUACAAGUGUGAAACUGAAGAGCUCAAUAGCUGUAUGCAUAAUAAUGCCGCAAGAGUUGAGGAUGGGUUAGUAAGUAAAGAGAGUUCUAGAAGAGAUAUCAGAUUUUUCUGAAUAUUAUUCGAGAUACGCAAAGUCACUAUUAAUGAAGAAGUUAUUCACGAGUAAUCGACUUAUUCAGGUAUGGUAUUUAAAGAAUGAGUCAACCAGAAUUUCUUUUAAAUUGAUUUCUUUAGUGAUUAGGAUAAUGUGGGAUCAUUGAUGAUUGUAGUAGUCAGUGGGAUAGUGUUGAAAUUGCAAAGAUAUCUGAAUGCAGCUGUUAUAGUUGAGUAUCUUAUAGUGACCUCUUCUGGGUAUUCUAUAUGUUCAUUUAUUCUCAGAGGUAUAUGUAAUAAUUCAUCUUCAGAGGUGAUUCUUAUCGUAAGAUAACGUUAGCUAAUCAUAAUGUUAGACUAAAUUAUUUUUAGUUUGGUUGAUUCAUGAUCGACAUUACUCUAUCUUUCUUUGGUUUUCUAAUUCAUUAUGUUAGAUAGAAGACUUAAUGAUAAGACUCAUAUGAAGCUAUUUUCUACUUCUACUGGUUGAUGUUCUGAAUUACAUAUAUGCAAUUUACAUUAUCUCUAUCACAACUGUUUCUAGUGCGUAUGAGCGAUCUUCUUCUUCUAGACUUUCUCUAGGAUAUCAUCGAUCUUUUUAUCAUUCAAUGUGGUUUUUACUCUUAAAAAUUCAGUAUAGCUUCACAUCUUGGAUUUCAUCAUCUCGGUUUUCUUAUCAUUCUUAUUGUUUAAUUUAUCAAACAUGAUUUAUUUGUAAAAGAUAUUUAUUGGCCAGAGGUAAUUACAUUUAUUACUGUUAUAUAUCCUGGUUCGAUCAUGGGAGCGCGGUGAUAUGGAUCUCAGAUUAUAGAAGUUGUAUUACUGCACUGGCUGUUAUUGGGACUACUUUUGGUUUUCCUCUUCAAUUUUGGGGUGCACUAUUGAUGUUGAGGUAUUGUUCUAUCUAUAAAGUUGAAACGUUUGUCCUAUUAUAGCACUAUGAUUUUUAAUCUAUUUGAUGGUUGUGGCUCUAGUAUAGUUCAAAGCUUCGAUGUUAAUAAUUGAAAUAGCUUUAUUAUAUAUAAUCCCUUUCUAGCUUUUGUAAAAGGGUUGACAUCAGCAAAACAGUAGACGGUGGAAGAUUGAGAUCAAACUUGUAUAUUGGUUUUCAUUCCUCAGGUAAUCUUGAUUAAUGUCAAUAAGUUAAAACGGGAUGUUAUGUUUCGUUUAAGUUAAUGCAGUUUUUAAGGAUCUUUGAUUAGUAUUAUGAGGGAAUUGUGAUAGAUUGUAUGUCUGGGUUGUCUUGACAACAAGAAGAAGGGAUUAUUCUGAAAUGCCAUUAUCUGAUAGAUAAAAUCGACUCAGUUUUUUAAAUCAAAGUGGGUUAUUCAUUGAAAGUUAAUUGAGUUAAACAUAUUUGAAUCUAUCCUCAGGUCCGAGAAUAAAUUUUGUGCAUUCAUAGGUAAAUAGACGAACAGUCAGAACGAAAAAUUCAAAUUCUAGAAGACUUGAUACAGAAAUAUAUGUAUUAGGUCAGUUCUAAUUGGGAAAUGUCACUAUAGGAUAAAGUCGUACUGAUUGUUGAAAUUAUCGCACUUGUGUAAAAUGAUAUUUUUUGACGCUUUACUGGAAAAAAGGGGAACAAACAUUAGUUGGAAGUUACAGAUGCAACCACAUCAGAAGCAUCAGUCAGAGUUUGAUAAUCCAGGUUUUUCGAUAAUGUUUCGACAGACGAUUACUAAGAAUUUCUUGGUAAUUAUACUACUAAUGAUAAAGUGAUGAUAGGAGAACAUCAGAGCUACUCUGUUAAGUUCAGGUAUAGUUUUAAGUUCUAAAAUGAGUUCUGAUAUGAGUUCAGAAAUUAUAUGAGCUAUGAUUGAUUUUUAUAGAAUUCAAUUGAAAAUGUGGAAGAAAGAUUUGAUUUAAUAGUUGAUAAACCGUAAUUUAUACAUAGUUUUAUCCCAUGCUUAGCCCAUUUAUGAAUGGUUUCUCCUUAGAUUUGGUGAAUUCGAUGCUCCUAAUCCUUUAAUUUCAUGUUUUAUACUUAGGUAAGCAUAGGAGAUUAAAAAGAGCGAGAAAUAGGCCGAAAAUGAAGAAAAUGGACCCACGUGGGACAUCAACACAGCCAGGACUUCCUCACACGGGUGUGUCACAGGGUCGUGUCCAUUUGGCAGGAUUGAAGCACGACUUACACGGGUAGACUACACGUCCGUGCCUAUUCAACAACCUUGACCACAGGCUGGAGUAAUCGCACACGGACGUGUCCCUACCGAGCCCAAGUAUAGUCCUAUUCAGAAAAGGUCAAUUUUUAAGGCUCUUGGGCAUUCAAAAGCCUAUUUAAACACCUGAUGAGGCACUUAAGAGGAGAGACGCAGAGUAGGAAGCAAGGAAUUACUCAAGGAAAGCCGAUUGAUUCAUCUCAGAAGCUAGAUUCAUCAUCAAGAUUGAAGAUCUCCCUUCAAGUUUCUUCAAGAGUUUUGGGUUUUCUUAUGUUUUGUUAUCUUUAUGCUUUUGAGAUGUUUUCUUUCAUAAGUAUGAACUAAACCCCCUAAAUACCUAAGGGGAAUGAAACCUAAGACGGAUCUUGUUAUUAUUAUCUGAAUUGUAUGAUAAAUAUUUGACUUGUUCUUAAUUAUGUGCUCUUAAUUCUUGUUUUAAUAUUCCAGGAUAUUGAUUCAAGUUAAGCUCUUAUUCAGAGGAGGAAUAGACCCUGUCUGAGAGUAAAAUUUUCAUAAUUAAGCGGAGUUGAUUGCGCACCUAGAGAUAGGGUGACAAGAUUUUGCCGAAUUAGGGUGAAACCUAAUAAGGGAAUUAAUAGAUCGAGUUAAUGCAAUUCUGGGGUGUUAAUUAGAAAGAGAUUUCAAUUAUUCAACCUAGGAUUAGACGUUAUUAGUCUCGAAAGAGAUAAUAAUAUAACUUAGGGAUUUCUACGGAUCAAGUCAAAUGAAUAAAUCGUCUGAUUCAGAGUCAAAUAACAAGUAAAGUCUAGGUAGAUUUUCCUUAGGUAUUGUCUUAAUCAAUCGAAUUUUCCCAAAAGUAUUUUCCCAAAUUUUCUUUCUGUGAAUUCUUAGUUUAGUAAUUAGUUUAGAUAACCAAACCUCUUAAUUUUUAGGCUAGAUAAUAAAAAAGAAGUAAAUACUAGUACUCGUGGUUCUUUUGGGUUCGACAAUUCGGUCUUGCUGAAGUAUACUACUGUUCGAUAGGUGCACUUGACUUAAUCGUGAUAAUAAGUUAGUCUCAAGAACGAUUCAUUCAUAAAUCUUUAAAACCUGUCACGAAUAUCACGUACCAAGUUUUUGGCGUCGUUGUUAGGGAACUAGGAUAUUAGGAACACUCGAUUUUUAUUACUUUAGCCAAUUUACUUUUAUUGCAAUUUAAAUUUUUGUUUUCUUUUCUAAUUCUUUAUUUAUUUUCUUCUGACAGGUUUUUCUAGUUUAUGACCAGAAGAAACCCGUCAGGACCAUUACUGUUUGAUAGUGAGAUCAAUCGCACAGUUUGCAAAAACCGAAGAGAAAUAAGGCGAACCUUACAAUAUACAGAGGAAGAGCAAGAUGACGAUACUUCAACCACAACCGAGGAUAUGGCUGAAAACCAAGAAAAUCCACUACCUCCUGCGAUUGCUGUUAAUUAGAAUCCUGCUCCACGCACUAUGUAUGGUUAUGCUAAACCUUCUUUAACAGGAACUGAAUCGAACAUAGUUAGACCUGUUGUAGCUACAAAUACUUUUGAACUGAAACCUAACACAAUUCAAAUGAUAUAGCAAUUUGUUUGAUGGUUUGUAGGACAAAGAUCCUAAUGCUCACUUGGCAAAAUUCUUAGAGUUUUACGACACUUUUAAAAUCAAUGGCGUUUCUGAUGAUGCCAUUCGCCUUCGGUUAUUCCCUUUUUCAUUGAGGAAUAAGGCUAAACAAUGGUUGAACUCGUUACCACAAGGGUCAAUCACUACGUGGGAACAAAUGAUCGAAAAGUUUUUAUUAAAAUAUUUUUUACUGUCUAAAACAACCAAAUUACGUAAUGAUAUCUCCCCUUUUGUGCAGAUGGAUUUAGAAAUACUCUACGAUGCAUGGGAGAGAUACAAAGACCUUUUACGAAGAUGCCCUCACCAUGGGUUACCACUCUAGCUACAGGUUCAAACGUUUCACAAUGGCCUGAAUCCUUCGACUCGGUGGAUGAUUGAAGCAGCCGCUAAUGGAAAUAUAAAUAAUAAGACACCUGAGGUGGCUUACGAAUUUAUUGAGGAGAUGUCACUGAAUAACUAUCAGUGGCAAGUUAUGAGGACAAAGCCAACGAAAGCAAUCGGUGUUUUCAACCUCGAUGUGGUUACUAUGCUAUCUAACCAAGUAGAACUCUUAAAUAAAAAGAUUGACUGUUUGUGUGGUUCUACUCAGGUUCAUCUAGGGAUGAGAUGCGACUCGAAUGGAGGAGGAGUAUGCACAGAAUAUCAACCCUUCAACCCUAGCAUCGAGGAGGAACAAGUCCAAUAUAUGGGUAACAAUAACUCUAGACUCCAAAAUAACCCGUAUAGUAACACUUAUAAUGCAGGUUGGAAGAACCAUCCCAAUUUUUCGUGGGGUGGUCAAGGAAAUCAAAGGCCACAACAUCCUCCGGGUUUUCAACAACCACCUUACCAGCAGGAAAAUAAGCCAAAACUUGAGGAGAUGUUAACAAAAUUCAUCUCGGUGUCAGAAACUCAUUUCCAGAAUACCGAGACAGCCCUUAAGAAUCAACAAGUGUCAAUCCAAGGACCCGAAACUCAGAUAGGCCAACUCGACAAACUGAUUUCUGAACACCAUAAGGUAGCCUGCCGAGCAACACUGGACCCAACCCAAAAGAGCACGUGAAAGCAGUUACACUAAGGAGUGGGAAAGUGUUAGCUGAAUCUGAAAAGAAGCCACCACAAGAAGCUGACAGAAAGGAGGUCGAACCCGAAAACAAUGACAAUCUAAUGCCAAAAGAAUAUAGACCACCAAUCCCAUACCCAUCAAAGUUGAAGAAAGACUGCAUGGAUACACAAUUCGGUAAAUUUCUUGAACUUUUUAAACAAUGAUAAACCGUAAUUUCUACAUAUUUUUACCCCAUGUAUAACACAUUUUAUGGAUGAUUUCCAUUAGAAUUGGUGAAUUCAAUGCUCUUAAUGCUUUAAUUUCAUGUUUUAUACUUAGGAGAGCAUAAGAGAGUGAAAGGAACAAGAAAUGGGCUAAAAAUGGAGGAAAUGGGUCAAAGUACGAAAUUAACACGGCCUAGACAUCCUCACACGGGCAUACCACACGGCCGUGUCAAUUUGGCAGGCUGGAGCACAGACUAAAGUAAUCGCACACGAGCGUGUCCCUGUCGAGCCCAAGUUGAGUCCAAUUCAGAAAAGGCUAAUUUUGAGGGCUUUUAGGCAUUCUAAAGCCUAUAAAUACAUCCUAGAGGAGGAAGAAAAGGGGGCACACAGAAUAGGGACUAAGGAAUUACACCAAAGAAGCUGAUUGAUCCAUCUCAGAAGCCGGAUUCACCAUCAAGACUGAAGAUCUCUCCUCAAUUUCCCCUUCAGGAGUUUUAGGUUUUCUUUAUGUUUUGUAUUCUUUAUUAUUCUGAGAUGUUUUCUUAUUUAGUUAUGAACUAAAAUCCCUAAAUACCUAAGGGGAGUGAAACCUAAGACGAAUCUUGUUAUUAUUUUCUAAAUUGUAUGAUAAAUAUUUAACUUGUUCUUAAUUAUGUGUUCUUAAUUCUUGUUUUGAUAUCCAAUGAUACUGAUUCAAGAUAAGCUCUUAUUCAGAGUAGGAAUAGGCCCUGUCUAAGAGUACAUUUGUCAUAAUUAAGCGGAGUUGUUUGCGCGCCUAGACAUAGGGUGACAAGAUUUUUUCGAAUUAGGGUGAAACCUAAUAAGGGGAUCCAUAGAUUGAGUUAAUGCAACCUUAGGGUGUUAAUUAGAGAAAGGUUUCAAUUAUUCAAUCUAGAGAUUAGACAUUAUUAGUCUUGAAUAGGGAUAAUAACAUAACUUAGGGAUCUCUACAGAACAAGUUGAAUGAAUAAACCAUUCGAUUCGGAGCCAGAAUAACAAGUAAAGCCUGGGUAGAUUUUUCCUUAGGUAUUGUCUUAAUUCAAUCGAUUUCCCUAAAAGCAAUUCCCCAGUUCUAUUCUCUGUGAAUUCUUAGUUUAGAUAAUUAGUUAGUUAAAAAAACCACUUUAUUCUUAGGCUAGAUAAUAAAAAGACAGUCAUUACUAGUACUUUUAGUUCCUUUGGGUUCGACAAUCCGGUCUUGCUAAAACUAUACUACUGUUCGAUAGGUACACUUGCCUACAUCGCGAUAAUAGUUAGUUUAAAACCUAUCAAGAAAUCACGCGAUCAAACAACUGCAUAUUAAUUUACCUUUUGUUGAAGCUAUAUCGCAGAUGCCUACAUAUGCAAAAUUUUUAAAAGUGCUUCUAACAAACAAAAGGAAGUUUGAAAACUUAUCUACAGUGGAACUUAAUGAAGAGUGCUCAGCCAUACUCUAGAAUAAACUGCCAACCAAACUGAAAGAUACAGGAAGUUUUACUAUUCCCUGUCUAAUUGAUAGUUUGAAUGUUGAUAAAGCACUAGUUGAUUUAGGCGCCAGCAUUAAUGUGAUGCCAUAUAAAAUGUUCAAACAACUUGGUCUUGAGGAAUCUAAACCCCACUAGGAUGAGUAUUCAAUUAGCUGAUAGAUCUGUUAAAUAUCCUAGGGGAAUUAUAGAGGACGUACUUAUAAAAGUAGACAAAUUUAUAUUCUAUGUUGAUUUUGUUGUGCUUGACAUGGAUGAAGAUGUUGAGGUGCCUUUAAUCUUAAUUCGAUCAUUUUUAGCCACUGCUAGGGUUGUAAUUGAUGUGGGUGAUGGUAAAUUGGUACUUAAAGUAGGUGACGAAGAGAUUAUUUUUAAAAUUUAUGAUGCCAUGAGAUUUUCUAAAGAAUAGGAUGACUCAUGUUAUUUUAUCGACUCUAUUAAUCAUGCUACUCAAGAUUCUUUUCAGAAAAUUGUACACAAGGACACGAUGGAACUGUGUCUCACCCAAGGAGAGAAGAUGGAUGAUGAUUCUGAAAUAGGAACCAAACUAAACUCUAAUGAAACCUCCCCAAAACUAGUAAAAUAUGAGGGAAUUAAGGUAAAAGAUGAACUCAAGUAAAAACUCUCUAUUGACGAACCUCCCAAAUUGGAACUUAAACAAUUGCCGAAUCGCUUCGAAUAUGUAUUCCUUGGAAAUAAUUCCACAUUACCGGUAAUUAUUGCAUCUAACUUGCAACCCAAAGAGAAAGAGGAAUUACUCCAAGUAUUAAGAGAGCAUAAAAGGGUCAUAGUUUGGAAAAUUUCUGACAUUAAAGGGAUCAGCCCUUCUUUUUGCACCCAUAAAAUUUUAAUGGAAGAUGAAUAUAAACCAUGCGUGCAAGCCCAAAGACGACUGAACCCCAACAUGAAGGAAGUUGUUAAAGCUGAGGUAAUUAAACUCCUAGAUGCUGAAAUUAUUUAUUCUAUUUUUGACAGUUCUUGGGUGAGUCUAGUGCAGGUUGUUCCUAAGAAAGGAGGCAUGACUGUUGUGGCCAAUGAGAAGAAUGAAUUAAUCCCAACAAGGACAGUCACAGGUUAGAGAGUGUGCAUUGAUUAUAGGAAGCUAAAUGAUGCCACGAGAAAAUACCACUUUCCCCUUCAAUUUGUUGACCAAAUGUUGGAAAGAUUGUCAGGACACAUGUACUACUACUACUUAGACGGACUCCCUGGCUAUUUCCAAAUCCCAAUAACUCUUGAAGAUCAAUAAAAGACAAUAUUUACAUGUCCAUACAGUACGUUUACUUAUCGUAGAAUGCCUUUUGGAUUAUGUAAUGCUCCUGCUACUUUUCAGCGCUGCAUGAUGGCCAUUUUUGAUGAACUCAUAGAAGACUUCAUGGAGAUAUUUAUAGAUGAUUUUUCAGUUUUUGGUAACUCUUUCCAUCUUUGCCUCAAAAAUUUAAAACAAGUGUUAAUAAGAUGUAAGGAAACAAAUCUUGUGCUUAACUGGGAAAAAUGUCGCUUUAUAGUUCAAGAAGGUAUUGCGUUAGGACAUAAAAUUUCUAGUAGAGGGAUUGAGGUUGAUAAAUCUAAAAUUGAAACCAUUGAAAAACUCCCUCUCCUAAUUCAAUUAAGGCUAUUAGAAGCUUCUUAGGACAUGAUGGGUUUUACAGAAGAUUUAUUAAAGACUUUUCUAAAAUAGCUAAACCUUUGACUAAAUUACUAGAAAAAGAUGUGCCUUUUAAUUUCGAUCAGGAGUGUUUAGAAGCAUUUAAUACUUUAAAGGAUAAACAGACUAAAGCUCCAAUUAUAAUUGUACCUGAUUGGAAUUCACCUUUUGAACUAAUGUGCGAUGCGAGCGAUUUUGUAGUAGGUGCAGUUUUGGGACAGCGAAGAGAUAAACAUUUUCAACCUAUCUAUUAUGCUAGCAGGACUUUGACAGCCACACAAGAAAAAUACACCACUGCGGAGAAAGAGCUGCUAGCUGUGGUUUUUGUAUUCGAUAAAUUUAGGUCAUAUUUAAUAUUGUCUAAAGUUUUCGUUUAUACUGACCAUUCUGCUCUUCGCCACCUUUUGACUAAAACUAAUGCAAAACGUCGACACAUUCAAUGGAUCUUAUUAUUGGAGGAAUUUGACUUGGAAAUUAAAGAUAAGAAAGGAGCUGAAAAUCUUGCGACUGACCAUCUCUCCAGGCUUGAAAACUCAAGUACCAAAGAACCAGAUGACAUUGAAAUAAAUGAUUUAUUCCCUGAAGAACAAUUUUUUGCUACAUCUGAUUCUGAGAUACCUUUGUUUGCAGAUAUUACAAAUUUUUUAGCCACUAACAUUAUCCCAAAAGGGUUGACACAUUAGCAAAAGAAGUGAUUCUUCACUAAUGUGAAAAACUACUUCUGGGAAAACCCUUUUUUUUCCGUAAAUGUGCAGAUCAAAUCAUAAGGAGAUGUGUUACAAGGACAGAAGUAUUGAAAAUCUUGGAACAUUGCCACUCAGGACCGACUGGGGGACAUAACGGUGGAAAUAAGACCGCACAUAAAGUCCUCAAAUUAGGUUUUUAUUGGCCCACUCUAUGCAGAGACGCCAAUAGGUAGGUGACUUCUUGUGACAAAUGUCAAAGGAUACGUAAUAUAUCCAAACAUGAUGAAAUGCCUCAGACAUAUAUGCUCUUAUGUGAAAUAUUUGAUGUUUGGGGUAUCGACUUCAUGGAACCAUUCCUUAGUUCCUUCAGGAAUAAAUACAUCUUAGUAGCUGUUGAUUAUAUGUCCAAAUGGGUUAAAGCCCAAGCUUUACCUACUAAUGAUGCUAGAGUAGUAAUACAUUCCUUAAGAAACUUUUCUCUUGAUUUGGUACACCUAGAGCAAUUAUCAGUAAUAGGGGUACUCAUUUUGUAACACCCAAUUUGACAAGAUCCUUAAGAAAUAUGGAGUUCAUCACAGAACAACUACCCCUUAUCACCUUCAAACUAGUGGUUAAGUCGAAGUAGCGAACCGAGAGCUUAAACAUAUCCUGAAAAAGACAGUAAAAUUAAACAAGAAGGAUUGGGUGAUGAAAGUAGAUGAUGCUUUAUGGGCUUAUAGAACUACUUUUAAGACUCCCAUAGGAACAUCACCUUACAGACUUGUUUAUGGGAAAAGUUGUCACCUACCGUUUGAGUUAGAACACAAGGCAUUUUGGGUUAUAAAAUUUCUAAACCUUGACCCCAAACUUGUAGGUGAAAACAGAUUGAUGUAGUUGAACGAGUUAUAUUAGUGGUGAGCCAAUGCAUAUGAAAAUUUGCGCCUAUAUAAGGAAGCGACGAAGCGCUGCCACGACACCCGUUUGAAGCAACAAAGGCAAUUUGAAGUUGGAGAUCUUGUCCUGUUAUAUAACUCAAGGCUCAAAUUGUUUCCUGGAAAGCUUAAAACACGAUGGUUAGGUCCUUUCAUAGUUCCAACUGUGUUUCCAUAUGGCACAGUAGAGGUAAUUCAUCCAUCACAAGGCACUUUUAAGGUAAAUAGACAUCGUCUCAAAAUGUAUAACGGUGAGAAUUUCAAAGAUGAUAAAGAGGAGCUAUGGCUCCAUAAAGUUACCUAAAUAUACCCACAAGGUAGAGUCGAGCUUAGACUAUAAACAAGCGCUUCUCGAGAGGCACUCCGAGAACUAACGGUGUUAACUUCUUUAAAUUUUAGUCUUUAACAUUUAAUUCACUCACUGAGUCACUAAACACAAGAUUUCCAGAACCACACGGCCAGGCACACGGGUAUGUCGUAGGCCAUGCACAUACCAUAAAAUGUAACACGGUCGUGCGAUACGAUCGUGUGAAAACAGAGCAAAAAUGUUUCCCCAACACGGAAUCCUAAAAAGUUGUCAGGCCGUGCAACGUGGCCGUAGGCAAUCUCGCCAAUGUAACACGGGCAAGCGACACGAUCGUGCCCACCAAUCGUGGUCGAGCCUGUCAAAAUAACACGAGCGUGCGCCUACAGAAACGGGCAUGGGAGAAGUGAACGAAGAUUGACACGGCCGUGCAACAUGGCUGUGUACACCAAUGCGCCCAAUUUCGAAAACCAUGAAACGCACGGGUUGAAAUGAAGGCACACGGGCGUGGCCCACGGCCGUGUGCCCCAAUUUCUCUAUAAACACCUAUUAUUUCUUUUAUUUUUAUCUUUAUACUUUGAAAUUACUUUUUAUUUCCUUUUAAUACUAUUUUAUCUUGAGUUUUUACAAUUUUUAGUUAUCUUGAGUUUUUACAAUUUUUAGUUUUGGCUAUUUCAUUACGAGUAAUUAUGUUACAUUAUAUUCCCUAAAAAGUUCCUGAUUCUAUCACAGUUAUAAAGAGCUCCAAAGCUCAUCAUCACAUAGGAACUACAAACUCAACUGGGAAAGGUUCUCCACCACUGCCAUGUCCUGCUUGACCAGGACCAUAGCUACCACCAGAUAUAAUAUUCUUUUGGAGCAGGACUUAUGGACUAAUGAACCUCUACCACCACCGGAGUAUCCUCCUCCACUCUUAUCAUUGUCUUGGCUGAUUAUUCUCCAUAACUCCAAUUCAAAGAGUUCAUUUAUCAUUCAGGAAGUUUCACUUCUCUCCCUAUCUUAUGAUUAUAUAUCUAUCUUUGUACAUUGAGGGCAAUGUAUGUCUUAAGUGUGAGGGGUCUUUUAUAUCAUCAUUAGAAAUCCCUAAAUUUUGUCUUAUUCUCACGUGAAUUACUCAUAUCACUAUUAGAAUGAAUUUUAACUAAUUUAUGAUUUUUAUUGAUGUCUUAAAUUAAAACAUAGGCAAUUAUGCAUUGAUUUGUUAAACUUUAAGACAUUAGGGAAUCAAGCAUGAUAAGUUGAUUUUUGAAGAAUUAAAAACUUUUAGGUUGUUUCCCUAAGUUUAGGUAUUAUCUUGAGUUGAAAUUCACAAGUUUAAACAUCAAAAAGCCAUAAUUUUUGUGAGAUCUUGAGCCUUUAGAGCAUAUUUUAUUCCUUUCACGCUCACUUUCAUUAUGAGUGCGUCAGUUUUGAUUUGUUAUUCUAGAACUUGCUUGAUUAUGCAUGUCAAGACCACACCAUUUGAUUUCAUAUGUCAAGAUGAUAAAGGCACUUAGGUUUAACCCACUCACUCCACAAAAGCCUACCUCCAUAAUUAACCCUUAGUGAACCCCUUUCGAGCCUAACAAGCCAUUAAUCGAUUUACCCUCAAUAUUAACCCAUAACCCAUUAUUGUUGAAAUCCCCUAAUUCGAUCCAUAUUUUUGUCGAGAUUUGAUUUGAACAAAUUGCUUAGCUAUGUUUUGUUCUUCUAUGUAUUUGACUUUUUCCUAAAAAAUACUUACAUACAUGUUAGUAGUAACUCAUCAUUUUUUAGCUUGGGUGUUAAUUCCAUAUUCUGAGAAGAAGCUCACUUGUAUUCAAUUGAUGACUAGUUAUUUUUCUAGCUAGGAAAUUUUUCAAUUCAAUCUCGAUUCUAACCUCUUCUUUCAGCUUGUGACCACCCCCUAACCAAAGCCACAGUACAACCCUCUAAAAGACAUUUUUGAUUGAUGUAUCAGCUCAAUAUAUAGUGGUGGAGAUUUAAUUUUCAAGUAAGCCUAUGGUAAUAACUUUUCAUAUUGACUAAUGAGUGCUUUAAUUGAUGUCCUUAAACAACUUGAGUGAUUUGAGUGAAUCUUUAGUGAGGAUGUUAUUUUGAUCAAAGGUAAUCACUUAGAUGAGGGGAGACACCUAUGUUUUCGUGAUAAAAUGCUCAACUUAGAAUGCUUGAAACUUUGAUAUACUUUUAGUUGAAUUUUCAAUGUAUGAGUACUUAUGGAUUAUUUUGAGAUAUUAUUGAUAUGGAUUAUAAAUUGAGAAGAAUUUAUUUUGACCAUGAGUUGAGGAUUUUGCUUGAGGGCAAGCAAAUACUUAAGUUUGGGGGUAUUUGAUAAACUGUAAUUUAUACAUAUUUUUAUCCCAUACUUAGCCCAUUUAUGAAUGGUUUCUCCUUAGAUUUGGUGAAUUCUAUGCUCCUAAUCCUUUAAUUUCAUGUUUUAUACUUAGGUGAGCAUAGGAGAAUAAAAAGAGCGAGAAACGGGCCGAAAAUGGAGAAAAUGAACCCACGUGGGAAAUCAACACGGCCUGGACUUCCUCACACGGGCGUGUCACACAGCCGUGUCCAUUUGACAGAAUUGAAGCACGACUUACACGGGUAGACUACACGCCCGUGCCUAUUCAACAGCCUUGACCACGGGCUGGAGUAAUCACACACGGGCGUGUCCCUGCCGAGCCUAAGUAUAGUCCUAUUCGGAAAAGGCCAAUUUCUAGGGCUCUUGGGCAUUCAAAAGCCUAUUUAAACACCUGAAGAGGCACUUAAGAGGAGAGACGCAGAGUAGGAAGUAAGGAAUUACUAAAGGAAAGCAGAUUGAUCCAUCUCAGAAGCCAGAUUCAUCAUCAAAAUUGAAGAUCUCCCUUCAAGUUCCUUCAAGAGUUUUGGGUUUUCUUAUGUUUUGUUAUCUUUAUGCUUUUAAGAUGUUUUCUUUCGUAAGUAUGAAUUAAACCCCCUAAAUACCUAAAGGGAAUGAAACCUAAGACGGAUCUUGUUAUUAUUAUCUGAAUUGUAUGAUAAAUAUUUGACUUGUUCUUAAUUAUGUGUUCUUAAUUCUUGUUUUAAUAUUCCAGGAUAUAAAUUCAAGUUAAGCUCUUAUUCAGAGGAGGAAUAGACCCUGUCUAAGAGUAUAAUUUUCAUAAUUAAGUGGAGUUGAUUGCGCACCUAGAGAUAGGGUGACAAGAUUUUGCCGAAUUAAGGUGAAACCUAAUAAGGAAAUCAAUAGAUCGAGUUAAUGCAAUUCUAGGGUGUUAAUUAGAAAGAGAUUUCAAUUAUUCAACCUAGGAUUAGACGUUAUUAGUCUCGAGAGAGAUAAUAAUAUAACUUAGGAAUUUCUACGGAUCAAGUCAAAUGAAUAAAUCGUCUGAUUCAGAGUCAAAUAACAAGUGAAGUCUAGAUGGAUUUUUCCUUAGGUAUUGUCUUAAUCAAUCGAAUUUUCCCAAAAGUAUUUUCCCAAAUUUUCUUUCUGUGCAAUCUUAGUUUAGUAUUUAGUUUAAAUAACCAAACCUCUUAAUUUUUAGGCUAGAUAAUAAAAAGGAAGUAAAUACUAGUACUCGUGGUUCCUUUAGGUUCGACAAUCCGGUCUUGCUGAACUAUACUACUGUUCGAUAGGUACACUUGCCUUAAUCGUGAUAAUAAGUUAGUCUCAAGAACGAUUCAUUCAUAAAUCAUUAAAACCUGUCACGAAUAUCACAUACCAAUAGCUUGUACUAGGUGAGAAAUUUCGAGGACGAAAGUUUUGUAAAGGGGAAGAGUUGUAAUAGCCCAUUUUUCAGUGGUGUCGGAAGCAGUAGUUUCAGGGCCACCAAAUCCGACGAGUAAGUUAGUAAAUAUUAUUAUUUAAUAUUUACGAGAGAAGUAUGAUUUUUAAAAAGGUUUUUUAUUUCAUAAUUUAUGUUAUAUAAGUGAUUUAUUAAGUUCAAGUGGUUUUAGAAAAUAGGGUAUCGGGGCCUUGUUUUUAUAAACCAAGCAGUAAAUAUUUUUAUAAAUAUUUACUGUCUGUCAUUAAGGUGGUCUUAAAGUUUCAUUAAAAAAUUUUAACGUUUCGAUAGUUAAUUUAUUAAAAAGGACCAAAUUAAAAAAAGUGCAUUCCUGGGACUCUGUUCCCGUAAAUCAAACUCAAAAUAUUUACGAAGCUAGUUGUGUAGUUAAUUAGGUUUCGGUUAAGUGAAUUUCCUUGAAUUAAAAGUAAUUAGGUAUAAGGACAAAUUUGCAUAUAGGGUGAAAGUUGAAUUAUAGAUUAAAGAAAAAUUAAAGGGACUAAAGAGGUAAUUAUGCCAUUGGAAUUAAUUGAGGCGGCAUGAGUAAGAUAUUUGUGAAUUUAUUAUUAUAUAUAUUAUAAAAUAAAAACAUUAAGUAUAUAUAUUAUAUUAUAUAAUAAAAAAUUAAUGUAUAAUAAAACAAAAUAAAAGAAAAAGAAAAAGAAAUAAAGUGAAACAAAACAAAAAGAAAAAAAAGAAAGAAAGAAAGAAGGAGAAAUGAGAAAGCUAGGGUUUCAAUUGUUCAAAACUCAAUCUGUUAGUCAAUUUAGUCCAUUUUCUUGUAAUUUUUAUGUUUUUGAAAUUCCGAUAUUAAAUACUACCCGACCCAUGUCAAAAUUUUAGAAAUCAUUGAGUUUUUAGGUGUUGCUAAUGUUGAGUAAUUUUAGUAUUAGGGACUAAAUUGGUAGAUUUUCAAGUUAGAAAUGAAAAAGGAUUGAAUUGUAGAAUAAAUUGUAAAUUUUGAGUAAUAGGGAUUAAAUUGUGAAAAUUAUAAAAUUUAGGGAUUCAAGUGAAAUUAGAGAGUUAAAUCUAGUUGAAAGUGGAAAUUGAAUAAAAAUAUAGAAUUGAUUGUGAAGAAAUAAAAUUAGUCUCGGUUCAGGGACUAAAUUGGAAUUUAGACAAAUAUUGAGUAAAAAGUUAAAAUAUUCAAGCUCUAUUUGUUUACCAGGAAAACAUUUUUCGAAAAAUGUUUUCCUAGUUUUACGGUGCUUGGUAGCCUAAAAAUAUUUUACAUUUGGAAAACAUUUUCCAUAGCACGGGUAAAACUGUUUUAGGGAAAAUGCCUUAAAGAUUUUUUUCCGUCAGACAUUUUCCAUCUCCUUCUUUAUCCGGGUAAAAUCCUUCUCCUUUCCUUCCGUUCUUCAUCAUCUUUCUCUCUUUUUGCAAAUCUCAUUCUUCAUUUUCUCUCUUUUUGAGGCAAAGGAAAAUCUCAUUCCUCUCUUUCUCAAGCAACUCUAAUUCUUCUUUGCAAGGUCUUGGCUUAAGGUAUGGCAUCUUCUUGUUCUUUUUUUUUGGGGGGGGUUGGGUAAAUUCAUCUAUUUAGGGUUUUUUUGAAUGUUCUUAUUGUUCUCAUAGUUUUUGACAAAAAUAUACGCUUUUUUUUAUUUUUUUUGACGAAUCUCAAAUCAUGAGGCCGAAUCUCAAUUACUUAAAUAUGUAGGUCUUGCUCUUUUUCCCUGAAUUUAUAGAAUGAAAUCCCAGACAAGCAGAGCUGAUCAAAUGUUUUGAAUGUUUCUAGCAAUAAGUUGUCUGAUGUCUAGGUCACGCCUAAUAGAUGCUCAUUUUAUAAGCAAUGCGAACUUGCAUAUUAAACAAAUCAUCAAAAUAUGACAUUAUCAUUCAGUAGAAACUUUGAUUUGUUAUAUGGUUAUAGAAAUUGAGUAGGGUAGAAGUGAACCGUAUGGUCAAAACUAAGCAAAUGAGCUUUGGUUUAAGUUUGUUUUUAUACUUCUAUUGAGCUAAAUUUGUUUGAAACUACUUGGAUUCAAAGAGUAUAUACACCCAUGUCUCACACUUUUCAAUAUUCAAAACUCUCUUCUAGUCAUAUAGGAAACAUAAGCAUCCUUGCUUUCCAUAGAUGAAGAAACGAAGAGUUGAGAAAGAUGAGUGAAUUAAGGUUAUCUUGUAGAAUUUGGUGUAGGGAAUUGAUGAAGUUGGUUCAACACUAUUUGGCAGGUUGCUUGGUUUUAGUUGAUGGAUUAGUCCAAACAUCAAAACAGCUGCCAUAAUGUAAUAUUAGAUGAAAGAUGAAAGCAUCAGCAUCUUUUUCUUUUUCAAGCUAAUUAAUAUGGUUUUGGGCUUUGAGACUAUAUAGCUCCCCCAAUUCAAGCAGGGAUUUUUGUGUAAAUAAAUUACUUUUGCUCUUUUUUUUUUUUGUUGUUUUUAAUUUGUUCAAACUUUUUUUAACCAUUGAAAAUACGUAAGAUGCCAAAAAAUAUGAAAUCUUAUCAGGUAGAUUCUCGGAAAUCUAAGCCAUCUAAUGAAGCAAUGGAUGCCUUCCUUACCCUGUCUCAUUUUUACAGAACUUGUAGAAGUUACUGAUAGAAGUUUAUGAAGUAUAUCAAGGAUUACUACUAUUUUCUAUGAGAUACAAAACAUAAAAAAUGCUUGAAAAUUAUACAUUCUUGAAGACACAUACCUCAAACUGUUCUUGGAUAACUUUAGCCAGCUGUAAUUCAUGUUUCAAUACUUGAACACCGUACAAAAAAUGCAAUUAAAAUCAUAAAUGUGAGACUUCUGAAGUUUAACUCCACUCAUUUUUUUUUCUUCUUUCUUAGAGUUUCUCAAGGUGAGAAAUAGAGAUAAGAACAGAGAGUGAUAAAGAGAGACAAAGACAGAAGUGAAGCUUGUGCUUUGAGAGCAAAAAUAAUAUGUGAUGGUUGGUGUUUAUAUAGGGAGAAGAUUUCAAAGCAAUAAGGACUAUUAAGACAUAAUGCAAAAAAUUUAAAAAGAAAAUGCUUUGAUAAUCCUUUUCAUUCAUACUUCAUAUAAAAUUUUAAGGUAGCAAAUCCUUUAUAAAAAUAUAUAAUAUUUAAAAUAAGGUUAUAAGACAUUAUUAUAAUCUAAUUUACAUGUCCCAUGCAUGUGAAUCAUUCAAUUUCUUGAUGACUAAUACAUAACAUCUAUUCUAUAUAUUUCAAUACCUGACACCUAUCGUCCUAGCUAUUAUAGGUAAAUAGACCAACAAUGAAAAGCAAUGUAUCGUCCUAGAUUUUUCUUUUCCUAAGACUGAACUUUCAUCAGAUGGAAGAUCAGAUUUUAGUCAUGUGCAUGUGUUUUUCAUCCACAGUCUACCACAUUUCGGUUGUAAUGACCCGAAUUUUUACUGUUAUCAAAAAAGUACAUUUUCGGGUCUCCGUUUCUGAAAAAUAGAUUUGUA